rnacentral:rRNA from 1 species
UACGUAGGGUGCAAGCGUUAAUCGGAAUUACUGGGCGUAAAGCGUGCGCAGGCGGUUGUGCAAGACAGAGGUGAAAUCCCCGGGCUUAACCUGGGAACUGCCUUUGUGACUGCACGGCUAGAGUGUGUCAGAGGGGGGUAGAAUUCCACGUGUAGCAGUGAAAUGCGUAGAUAUGUGGAGGAAUACCGAUGGCGAAGGCAGCCCCCUGGGAUAACACUGACGCUCAUGACACGGAAAGCGUGGGGAGCAAACAGG